GGGCCCGUAGCUCAGCGGUAGAGCAUCGGACUUUUAAUCUGAGGGUCGUUGGUUCGAUCCCAACCGGGCUCACCA
rnacentral:tRNA from 1 species